rnacentral:miRNA from 1 species
AGAUUCGUGAGUGGGUUCACGAGC